rnacentral:rRNA from 1 species
GAUGAACGCUGGCGGCGUGCUUAACACAUGCAAGUCGAACGGAAAGGCUCCUGCUUGCCGGGGUACUCGAGUGGCGAACGGGUGAGUAACACGUGGGUGAUCUGCCCUGCACUUCGGGAUAAGCCUGGGAAACUGGGUCUAAUACCGGAUAGGACCACAUUUUGGACGGUGUGGUGGAAAGUGUUUCGGUAUGGGAUGAGCUCGCGACCUAUCAGCUUGUUGGUGGGGUAAUGGCUUACCAAGGCGUCGACGGGUAGCCGGCCUGAGAGGGUGUACGGCCACAUUGGGACUGAGAUACGGCCCAGACUCCUACGGGAGGCAGCAGUGGGGAGUAUUGCACAAUGGGCGCAAGCCUGAUGCAGCGACGCCGCGUGGGGGAUGACGGCCUUCGGGUUGUAAACUACUUUCGCUAGGGACGAAGCGCAAGUGACGGUACCUGGAGAAGAAGCACCGGCUAACUACGUG